rnacentral:rRNA from 1 species
AUUGAACGCUGGCGGCAGGCUUAACACAUGCAAGUCGAGCGGAGAUGAGGUGCUUGCACCUUAUCUUAGCGGCGGACGGGUGAGUAAUGCUUAGGAAUCUGCCUAUUAGUGGGGGACAACAUUCCGAAAGGAAUGCUAAUACCGCAUACGCCCUACGGGGAAAGCAGGGGAUCUUCGGACCUUGCGCUAAUAGAUGAGCCUAAGUCGGAUUAGUUAGUUGGUGGGGUAAAGGCCUACCAAGGCGACGAUCUGUAGCGGGUCUGAGAGGAUGAUCCGCCACACUGGGACUGAGACACGGCCCAGACUCCUACGGGAGGCAGCAGUGGGGAAUAUUGGACAAUGGGCGGAAGCCUGAUCCAGCCAUGCCGCGUGUGUGAAGAAGGCCUUUUGGUUGUAAAGCACUUUAAGCGAGGAGGAGGCUACCUGGAUUAAUACUCUAGGAUAGUGGACGUUACUCGCAGAAUAAGCACCGGCUAACUCUGUGCCAGCAGCCGCGGUAACAC